rnacentral:rRNA from 1 species
AGUGAACGCUGGCGGUAGGCCUAACACAUGCAAGUCGAACGGCAGCACAGUAAGAUCUUGCUCUUACGGGUGGCGACUGGCGGACGGGUGAGGAAUACAUCGGAAUCUACUUUUUCGUGGGGGAUAACGUAGGGAAACUUACGCUAAUACCGCAUACGACCUACGGGUGAAAGCAGUGGAUCUUCGGACCUUGCGCGAUUGAAUUAGCCGAUGUCGGAUUAGCUAGUUGGCGGGGUAAAGGCCCACCAAGGCGACGAUCCGUAGCUGGUCUGAGAGGAUGGUCAGCCAAACUGGAAAUGAGACACGGUCCCGACUCCUACGGGAGGCAGCAGUGGGGAAUAUUGGACAAUGGGCGCAAGCCUGAUCCAGCCAUACCGCGUGGGUGGAGAAGGCCUUCGGGUUGUAAAGCCCUUUUGUUGGGAAAGAAAAGCAGCAGGUUAAUACCCCGCUGUUCUGAAGGUACCCAAAGAAUAAGCCCCCGCUAAAUUCGUGC